AUUGAACGCUGGCGGCAUGCCUUACACAUGCAAGUCGAACGGUAACGGGCCUUCGGGUGCCGACGAGUGGCGAACGGGUGAGUAAUGCAUCGGAACGUACCUUUCAGUGGGGGAUAACGUAGCGAAAGUUACGCUGAUACCGCAUAUUCUGUGAGCAGGAAAGCAGGGGAUCGCAAGACCUUGCGCUGAUUGAGCGGCCGAUGUCAGAUUAGCUAGUUGGUGAGGUAAAGGCUCACCAAGGCGACGAUCUGUAGCGGGUCUGAGAGGAUGAUCCGCCACACUGGAACUGAGACACGGUCCAGACUCCUACGGGAGGCAGCAGUGGGGAAUUUUGGACAAUGGGGGCAACCCUGAUCCAGCCAUGCCGCGUGAGUGAAGAAGGCCUUCGGGUUGUAAAGG
rnacentral:rRNA from 1 species